rnacentral:tRNA from 1 species
GCGGCCGUGGCGGAACAGGCAGUCGCGCUGGCUUUAGGUGCCAGUGAGGGAAACCUCGUGAGGGUUCGAUUCCCUCCGGCCGCA